GCAUAUCAAUAAGCGGAGGAAAAGAAACUAACAAGGAUUCCCCUAGUAACGGCGAGUGAAGCGGGAAGAGCUCAAAUUUGUAAUCUGGCACCUUCGGUGUCCGAGUUGUAAUCUCGAGAAGUGUUUUCCGCGCCGGACCGCAUACAAGUCUGUUGGAAUACAGCGUCAUAGUGGUGAGAACCCCGUAACUGAUGCGGAUGCCCGGUGCUUUGUGAUACACUUUCGAAGAGUCGAGUUGUUUGGGAAUGCAGCUCAAAUUGGGUGGUAAAUUCCAUCUAAAGCUAAAUAUUGGCGAGAGACCGAUAGCGAACAAGUACCGUGAGGGAAAGAUGAAAAGCACUUUGGAAAGAGAGUUAACAGUACGUGAAAUUGUUGGAAGGGAAACGCUUGAAGUCAGACUUGCUAUUUGGAAUUCAGCCGCAAGGUGUACUUUUCAAUUCGCAGGCCAGCAUCAGUUUUCGGGGGUGGAAAAGGGUAGAGAGAAGGUAGCAAUUUCGGUUGUGUUAUAGCUCUUUGCUGGAUUCAUCCUUGGGGACUGAGGAACGCAGCACGCUUUUUGCAAGGCUUUCGAGUUCGUGC
rnacentral:rRNA from 1 species